UCCCUGGUGGCUCAGUGGUGAGGACUCCAUGCUUCCAAAGCAGGAGACACAGGUUCAAUACCUGACUGGGGAA
rfam:TPA: Bos taurus chromosome 4, whole genome shotgun sequence.